rnacentral:rRNA from 1 species
AGUGAACGCUGGCGGCGUGCCUAAUACAUGCACGUCGAACGGAGUGGCGCCCGGGUGAGUAAUGUAUAGCUAAUUUUCCCUCCACUAGAGGACAACAGUUUGAAACGGCUGCUAAUACUCCAUAGUGUAGGAUGAGGCUAUACUGUAUCAGCUAGUUGCUGAGGUAAUGGCUCACCAAGGCUAUGACGCAUAACUGGUCUGACAGGAGGAUCAGUAACACUGGAAGAGAGACACGGUAGAGAAUCCUACGGGAGGCAGCAGUAGGGAAUAGUGCACAAUGGGGGAAUCCAUGAAGCAGCAACGAGGCGUGGAGGAUGACACUUUUCGGAGCGUGAAAUCCUUUUGUUAGGGAAGCGGUACCUAACGAAUAAGCACCGGCUAACUCCGUGCCAGCAGCCGCGGUAAUUC